AUGAACGCUGGCGGCGUGCCUAAUACAUGCAAGUCGAGCGAACAGACGAGGAGCUUGCUCCUCUGACGUUAGCGGCGGACGGGUGAGUAACACGUGGAUAUCCUACCUAUAAGACUGGGAUAACUUCGGGAAACCGGAGCUAAUACCGGAUAAUAUAUUGAACCGCAUGGUUCAAUAGUGAAAGACGGUUUUGCUGUCACUUAUAGAUGGAUCCGCGCCGCAUUAGCUAGUUGGUAAGGUAACGGCUUACCAAGGCAACGAUGCGUAGCCGACCUGAGAGGGUGAUCGGCCACACUGGAACUGAGACACGGUCCAGACUCCUACGGGAGGCAGCAGUAGGGAAUCUUCCGCAAAGGGCGAAAGCCUGACGGAGCAACGCCGCGUGAGUGAUGAAGGUCUUCGGAUCGUAAAACUCUGUUAUUAGGGAAGAACAAAUGUGUAAGUAACUAUGCACGUCUUGACGGUACCUAAUCAGAAAGCCACGGCUAACUACGUG
rnacentral:rRNA from 1 species